rnacentral:tRNA from 1 species
GGAGAGGUAUCGAAGGGGUCAUAACGAGGCGGUCUUGAAAACCGUUUGGCGUCAGCCACAUGGGUUCGAAUCCCAUCCUCUCCG